AAGCGGUGGAUGAUGUGGAUUAAUUCGAUGCAACGCGAAAAACCUUACCUACCCUUGACAUGUCAGAAACUUGGCAGAGAUGCCUUGGUGCCCGAAAGGGAAUCUGAACACAGGUGCUGCAUGGCUGUCGUCAGCUCGUGUCGUGAGAUGUUGGGUUAAGUCCCGCAACGAGCGCAACCCUUGUCGUUAAUUGCCAUCAUUUAGUUGGGCACUUUAACGAGACUGCCGGUGACAAACCGGAGGAAGGUGGGGAUGACGUCAAGUCCUCAUGGCCCUUAUGGGUAGGGCUUCACACGUCAUACAAUGGUCGGUACAGAGGGUUGCCAAGCCGCGAGGUGGAGCCAAUCCCAGAAAGCCGAUCGUAGUCCGGAUCGCAGGCUGCAACUCGCCUGCGUGAAGUCGGAAUCGCUAGUAAUCGCGGAUCAGCAUGUCGCGGUGAAUACGUUCCCGGGUCUUGUACACACCGCCCGUCACACCAUGGGAGCGGGUUCCGCCAGAAGUAGGUAGCCUAACCGCAAGGAGGGCGCUUACCACGGCGGGGUUCGUGACUGGGGUGGAGUCGUAACAAGGUAGCCGUAGGGGAACCUGCGGCUGGAUCACCUC
rnacentral:rRNA from 1 species